rnacentral:rRNA from 1 species
AAACCAACUGGGAUUACCUUAGUAACGGCGAGUGAAGCGGUAAAAGCUCAAAUUUGAAAUCUGGUACUUUCAGUGCCCGAGUUGUAAUUUGUAGAAUUUGUCUUUGAUUAGGUCCUUGUCUAUGUUCCUUGGAACAGGACGUCAUAGAGGGUGAGAAUCCCGUUUGGCGAGGAUACCUUUUCUCUGUAAGACUUUUUCGAAGAGUCGAGUUGUUUGGGAAUGCAGCUCAAAGUGGGUGGUAAAUUCCAUCUAAAGCUAAAUAUUGGCGAGAGACCGAUAGCGAACAAGUACAGUGAUGGAAAGAUGAAAAGAACUUUGAAAAGAGAGUGAAAAAGUACGUGAAAUUGUUGAAAGGGAAGGGCAUUUGAUCAGACAUGGUGUUUUUUAAAUGUGCAAGUCUCUCGUGGACAUGUGCCUCUGGAAAUUGACACUGGGCCAACAUCAGUUCUGGCGGCAGGAUAAAUCAUUAAGAAUGUAGCUACCUCGGUAGUGUUAUAGCCUUUUGAAAUACUGUC